rnacentral:rRNA from 1 species
UGGGGAAUAUUGGACAAUGGGGGCAACCCUGAUCCAGCAAUGCCGCGUGUGUGAAGAAGGCCUGCGGGUUGUAAAGCACUUUCAGAGGGGAAAAAAAAAUCGGAUCUAACACAUCCGAGCUUGACGUUACCCUUAGAAGAAGCACCGGCUAACUCUGUGCCAGCAGCCGCGGUAAUACAGAGGGUGCAAGCGUUGUUCGGAAUUACUGGGCGUAAAGCGCGUGUAGGUGGCGAGAUAAGUCGGGUGUGAAAUCCCUUGGCUUAACCAAGGAAGUGCAUUCGAUACUGUUUCGCUUGAGUAUCGGAGGGGUCGGCGGAAUUCCCGGUGUAGAGGUGAAAUUCGUAGAUAUCGGGAGGAACACCUGUGGCGAAGGCGGCCGACUGGACGAUCACUGACACUGAGACGCGAAAGCGUGGGUAGCAAA